CUACGGGCUGCUGCAGUGAGGAAUUUUGCGCAAUGGGGGGAACCCUGACGCAGCAACGCCGCGUGAGUGAUGAAGGCUUUCGGGUCGUAAAGCUCUGUCAAGUGGGAAGAACCUAUGCAGUGUUAAUAUCACUGUAUACUGACGGUACCACUGAAGGAAGCACCGGCUAACUCCGUGCCAGCAGCCGCGGUAAUACGGGGGGUGCAAGCGUUAUUCGGAAUCAUUGGGCGUAAAGGGCACGUAGGCGGCUUGGUAAGUCAGAUGUGAAAGCCCGGGGCUUAACCCCGGAAGUGCAUUUGAUACUGUCAGGCUUGAGUAUGGGAGAGGGAAGUGGAAUUCCUGGUGUAGAGGUGAAAUUCGUAGAUAUCAGGAGGAACACCGGUGGCGAAGGCGACUUCCUGGACCAAUACUGACGCCGAGGUGCGAAGGCGUGGGUAGCAAACAGGAUUAGAUACCCUGGUAGUC
rnacentral:rRNA from 1 species